UGGGGAAUAUUGCGCAAUGGGGGAAACCCUGACGCAGCAACGCCGCGUGAAGGAUGAAGGCCCUUGGGUUGUAAACUUCUUUGGUCGGGGACGAAUAAUGACGGUACCCGAAGAACAAGCCACGGCUAACUACGUGCCAGCAGCCGCGGUAAUACGUAGGUGGCGAGCGUUGUCCGGAUUUACUGGGUGUAAAGGGCGUGUAGGCGGGAAAUUAAGUCAGAUGUGAAAUUCCGAGGCUCAACCUCGGCGCUGCAUCUGAAACUAAUUUUCUUGAGUACUGGAGAGGAAAGCGGAAUUCCUAGUGUAGCGGUGAAAUGCGUAGAUAUUAGGAGGAACACCAGUGGCGAAGGCGGCUUUCUGGACAGUAACUGACGCUGAGGCGCGAAAGCGUGGGGAGCAAACAGG
rnacentral:rRNA from 1 species